AUUGAACGCUGGCGGCAUGCCUUACACAUGCAAGUCGAACGGCAGCGCGGACUUCGGUCCGGCGGCGAGUGGCGAACGGGUGAGUAAUACAUCGGAACGUACCCUGUUGUGGGGGAUAACUAGUCGAAAGAUUAGCUAAUACCGCAUACGACCUGAGGGUGAAAGUGGGGGACCGCAAGGCCUCACGCAGCAGGAGCGGCCGAUGUCUGAUUAGCUAGUUGGUGGGGUAAAGGCCCACCAAGGCGACGAUCAGUAGCUGGUCUGAGAGGACGAGCAGCCACACUGGGACUGAGACACGGCCCAGACUCCUACGGGAGGCAGCAGUGGGGAAUUUUGGACAAUGGGGGCAACCCUGAUCCAGCAAUGCCGCGUGUGUGAAGAAGGCCUUCGGGUUGUAAAGCACUAUUGUCCGGAAAGAAAUCGCGCUGGUUAAUACCUGGCGUGGAUGACGGUACCGGAAGAAUAAGCACCGGCUAACUACGUGCCAGCCGCCGCGGUAA
rnacentral:rRNA from 1 species